rnacentral:lncRNA from 1 species
GCUGUAAAAGCGGUUGGCAUCGGAAGCACUAUACAGCCGCUAUUGGAACCUAAAGCAUCGGCAGCCGAAAACUUUCGGUCAUCUCCGAUAAUUUCCGCGUUUCGCCGAACAACGCCAACACUUCCUGUCGUCACAGCGAGCGAAAAAUGGCUGCCGACAGAGGAGAAGAGAAAAGGUCGCCGAGUGUGCUGGGAUCUGGUGGACGGAUGGGCGAGAUGUCUGACAGUUGUGACCUCCCUACUGUUCCCGAAACUCCGUCGACAGAGAUUAUACAUGGAGUCUGACCAAUACCAAAGUCUUCCAAUGUGCCAGAGUCACCAGCUGUGAUUCUCACACAAAGAGGUCAGUCUGCAGAAGUGUUCAAGACUUGAGCAACAAGAUGACACAAGUUUCCUGGUAGUGUCUCACUUAGAUGAGACACUGAUCAAGCUUCCAGGAUAGAUGAGACAUUGUUUGUUGCAGCAGCGACUGAGCACAAACCAUCUUUACAGUGUGGGACCUGAGGGAAGAUUGUCAAGACCUAAGGCUCCUUGAACCUGCAAGUGAGGCGCCACACUAAAGAUGUCAAAUUCUCAUGUGAAUUGUGUGGGACGUUUUUCCUUAUCAACCAAACGCUGGAGGAACAUGUUGCUAAAGUACACAAACAGAUUGGUGUUGUCAAGUGCAAGGUUUGCAGUAUAGUUACAACAUUUCGGGGUAUGGAGGAAUACAAGUCUGCUCCAUGAUGAGCAUGCACCCAAAUACAGGUUGUGGUAAACUCAUAACAUAAUCUGUCAUGACAUUUUUUCAUUGGUAGAAUGAAUGACCAUGGCCAGUUGUCAGAUCCCAAAUACGUAAUUUGGAAACCCGACUUAUAAUUGCCACGAUAACCAUACCACCUUUGCUUAUUUGAAGUUCAUUUGUUUAGAUUUAGUAAUAGAAUUUCCUCAAAUG